rnacentral:pre_miRNA from 1 species
AAUCACAUCACCUGGGGAUCUUGUUAAAAGGCAGAUUCUGAUUCAGCAAAUCUGGGAUAUGGGCCUGAGGUCCUGCAUUUCUAGUAAUCUCCUAGGAGAUGCUGAU